AUUGAACGCUGGCGGCAUGCCUUACACAUGCAAGUCGAACGGUAACGGGCCUUCGGGUGCCGACGAGUGGCGAACGGGCGAGUAAUACAUCGGAACGUGCCCGAUCGUGGGGGAUAACGAGGCGAAAGCUUUGCUAAUACCGCAUACGAUCUACGGAUGAAAGCAGGGGACCGCAAGGCCUUGCGCGGACGGAGCGGCCGAUGGCAGAUUAGGUAGUUGGUGGGAUAAAAGCUUACCAAGCCGACGAGCUGUAGCUGGUCUGAGAGGAUGAUCAGCCACACUGGGACUGAGACACGGCCCAGACUCCUACGGGAGGCAGCAGUGGGGAAUGUUGGACAAUGGGCGCAAGCCUGAUCCAGCCAUGCCGCGUGCAGGAUGAAGGCCUUCGGGUUGUAAACUGCUUUUGUACGGAACGAAAAGCCUUCUUUUAAUACAGGAGGGUCAUGACGGUACCGGAAGAAUAAGCACCGGCUAACUACGUG
rnacentral:rRNA from 1 species